AGUGAACGCUGGCGGUAGGCCUAACACAUGCAAGUCGAACGGCAGCACAGUAAGAGCUUGCUCUUACGGGUGGCGAGUGGCGGACGGGUGAGGAAUACAUCGGAAUCUACUUUUUCGUGGGGGAUAACGUAGGGAAACUUACGCUAAUACCGCAUACGACCUACGGGUGAAAGCAGGGGAUCUUCGGACCUUGCGCGAUUGAAUGAGCCGAUGUCGGAUUAGCUAGUUGGCGGGGUAAAGGCCCACCAAGGCGACGAUCCGUAGCUGGUCUGAGAGGAUGAUCAGCCCCACUGGAACGGAGACACGGUCCAGACUCCUACGGGAGGCAGCAGUGGGGAAUAUUGGACAAUGGGCGCAAGCCUGAACCAGCCAUACCGCGUGGGUGAAGAAGGCCUUCGGGUUGUAAAGCCCUUUUGUUGGGAAAGAAAAGCAGCAGGUUAAUACCCCGCUGUUCUGACGGUACCCAAAGAAUAAGCACCGGCUAACUUCGUG
rnacentral:rRNA from 1 species